rnacentral:misc_RNA from 1 species
AAUCCCAAAAUUCCAGCAAUCACCCCACCAAUGAUAGACAAAAAUGUCCGGCUGUAAUAUAUGACUUUCAUGUUACUUUGCAAAUUUUCAGCAUUGAAAGUUUGCAAAUCAUUAGCAUCUUCACUUGAUUUCUUCUCGGAUCCACCAGCCAUGCCUUCUACUAUAUAAUGAUCUAAUUUAUGCUCAACUUGUAGCACCACUGAGUAAACUCUGCUUAUGUCCCGAUUUGUUCC